GAAACCAAGAGCAUACGGUGGAUGCCUAGGGUCUUUGAGGCGAUGAAGGACGUUGCGUGGCGACGAAAACUUCGGGGAGGCGCUUAGCGGCCUUUGAUCCGGAGGUCUCCGAAUGGGGCAACCCCUUGCUGACAAAUCAGCAAGAUCCCAAUUUCAUAUUGGGAAGCAUACCCAGGGAAGUGAAACAUCUCAUUACCUGGAGGAAAAUAGAACAAUCUUGCCUGCGCAAGCAGGUGUUAUUCCUUUAGUAGCGGCGAGCGAAAAAGGAAAAGCCCAAACUCAGCUUUAAUUCCAGUAUACCAAUAGUGGUAUUUUGGAAUUAAGGUUGGGAGUUAUAAGGCAGUAGCGCUUUGAAUAAGAGGAAGAGUUACAAAACGCUUGGUUAGUAGAAUCCGUUGGAAAGCGGAGCCAAAGAAGGUGAAAGCCCUGUAAACGAAAACUUUGCGUCUCUUUAGCUGCUGUUCUUGAGUACUUCAGGACACGAAUGGCCUGGAGGAAUUUGCCGGAACUAACCGGUAAGGCUAAAUACUUAAAGACACCGAUAGUGAACAAGUACCGUGAGGGAAAGGUGAAAAACACCCCGGAAGGGGAGUGAAAUAGAUCUGAAACCGUAUGCUUACAAAGAGUCGGAGCCCGAUCCGCAAGGGUCUAGGGUGACGGCGUGCCUAUUGAAGAAUGAGCCAACGAGUUUAUCCCAAUCCUUUGUCUAAUCCACCUUAGGUGGAGAAGGCGUAGGGAAACCGAGUGUUAAUAGCGCGUUCAGGUUUGGGAUAAGACCCGAAGCCGGGUGAGCUACCCAUGAGCAGGAUGAACUCCGAUGAAAAUCGGAGGGAGGUCCGAACCGAUAAGCCGUGCAAAACUUUCGGAUGACUUGUGGGUUGGAGUGAAAAGCUAAUCGAACCCGGUAAUAGCUGGUUCUCUCCGAAAUAGCUUUCGGGCUAGCGUCGAGUGAUACCUUUGGGGGUAGAGCUACUGGAUGGAUAGAAUAGGGAGAAAUCUCGUCUGUCUAAUCAAACUCCGAAUACCAAAGAUUUUAACUCGGCAGUCAGACUACGGGGGCAAAGCUCCGUCGGUCAAAAGGGAAACAGCCCAGAUCUCAAGUUAAGGUCCCUAAAUUCAUGCUAAGUGCGUCUUAAGGAGGUUAGAUUUCUCCGACAAUGAGGAGGUUGGCUUAGAAGCAGCCAUCCUUUAAAGAAAGCGUAACAGCUCACUCAUCGAGAGAUUUUGCGCCGCAGAUAAUCGGGGCUAAGCAUGGUACCGAAGCUGAGGACUCUUUCUGAUUUCGAUCAGAAGGAUUGGUAGGAGAGUGUUCCACACCGCGUUGAAGUUCUAGCCGCGAGGCGGAAUGGAGUGUGUGGAAGUAAGAAUGUUGGCACAAGUAACCACAAGUCCGAUGAAAAAUCGGACCGCCGAAAGACUAAGGUUUCCUUGGUAAUGUUAAUCAGCCAAGGGUUAGUCGGUCCUAAGGGGAUGGCGAAAGCCGCACCUAAUGGAUACACGGUUAAUAUUCCGUGACUUCCAUGCUUUUCGAUGGAGUGACGGAGGAAAUAAACGCAAGUACUUUAUUGGAUUAGUACUCCUUGCGAGAGAAGUGUUCGCCAUGCAAAUCAGGCGGACUGAUUUAAUUCAAACUUCAUUCGUCGGGAAAACUUUGUUCGUUCGCGGACAGGGAAUUUGCGUGAAGAGCCUCCCAAGAAAAACUUCUAAGAAUAAAAGCAUGGGAACCGUACCGCAAACCGACACAGGUAGUCAGGUCGAGAAGACCAAGGCGAACGAGUGAGAAGUCCCCAAGGAACUCGGCAAAAAAGCGACCGUAACUUAGGGAUAAGGUCUUCCCGCACAUAACUUACCAAAUAACUUUUAAAGUUAAACAUGUUUUAUUUCGUAGAACAUUUAUUUAAUAAAAAAGAUUGUUUGUUGAGUUAUGUGCGGGACGCAGCGAAAGUAUCUCUGGCGACUGUUUAUCAAAAACACAGCUCCCUGCGAACUCGUAAGAGGAUGUAUAGGGGGUGACGCCUGACCAAUGCCAGAAGGUUAAAAUAUGUCGGUUUGGGUCGCAAGAUUCAAGCUGAACGUAUUAAGCCCUGGUGAAUGUCGGCAAUAACUAUAAUUGUCCUAAGGUAGCGAAAUACCUUGUCGGGUAGGAAACUGCCCAUCCCGAUGGCGACAUUGGGAUUAAAUCCGGCUUAUAACGGUGGAAUCCUUUUGCACAUAAUGCGCAAAGUAAAAGGACAAUACCGUGGGAAGUCCCAGUUUGAUUUAUCAAAUUUGGACCCCGUAACGACUUAAGUCGCCUAUGUAUAGUGGCGACUUGGAUAGAUUAUUGAUAUAAUCUAUAACAUGCCGGCUCUCAAGAAAAAACGCAAUAUACAUGAAUAUAUUUCCGGAUAUGUAGAUGGAGAAGGGUGCUUUAGUGUUUCAUUUUCAAAACGAGAUAAAUUUAUCGUCGGCUGGGAAACUAAACCAAGUUUUUCAGUUAGCCAAAAUGAAGAUAGAGCACAAACACUUUUCCUAAUACAAAAGAUAUUGAAAUGCGGAUUUAUGCGAAGAGAUUUUUCAGAUAAAACUUUGAAAUACGAAGUUAGAAGUCUGGAAGAUCUAAUCAAAAAAGUAAUUCCUCAUUUUGAAAAGUUUCCAAUGGUUUCAAAUAAGCAAAAAGAUUUCAAAUUAUUCAAGCAAGUUUGUUUCUUGAUGCAAAGAAAUAUGCACAGGAAAAAAAACGGAUUGAAUAAAAUAAUGAGUCUUGCGUUUAAAAUGAAUCCAGGGGGAAAAAGAAAAUAUACGAAAGCAGAAAUGCAAAAAGCGUUGAGAUGAAGAUAUAGUCUGAUACUCCUUGUAAAAGGAGAUAACACAGUGAAGUUCCGACGCGCAUGAAUGGCGUAACGACCAGAGAACUGUCUCGGGGACUCGCUCGGUGAAAAUACAAUACCGGUGAAGAUGCCGGUUACCCACAGUUAGACGAAAAGACCCCGUGAAGCUUUACUACAACUUGAUAUUGAGCGUGUUUUUUUGUUGCGUAGAAUAGAUGGGAGACUUUGAAGUUUCGAUUCCGGUCGGAAUGGAGUCAUCAGUGCAAUACCAUCCUUUAGAGAGGCACGUUCUAACCAGUACGGCAAAAACGGACUGGAACAGUAUCUGGUGGGUAGUUUGUUUGGGGCGAAUCCCUCCUAAAAAGUAACGGAGGGGUCUACCAAGGUUCCCUAGGCGCGAAUGGAAACCGUGCCGAUAGCGUAAUGGCAUAAGGGAGCUUAACUGCGAGGCGUACAUGCCGAGCAGAUGCGAAAGCAGAGCAUAGUGAACCGACCACUCGCAUUAGACGCGGUGGAAGAUUAUCGGACAAAAGCUACUCCGGGGAUAACAGGCUAGUUCCGCCCAAGAGUUCAAAUCGACGGCGGAGUUCGGCACCUCGAUGUCGGCUCAACAUAUCCUGGCGGUGGAGAAGCUGCCAAGGGUUUGGCUGUUCGCCAAUUAAAAUGUUACGCGAGCUGGGUUCAAACCGUUCAGGAGGCAAAAAAUUGUCUUUUGAACAGUUUGAACCUAAGAGGCAAAGAACUGUUAUAAAACUGAAAUUAACCAAGUGUAUUAAAUUACACACACGGCGGCUAUAUGCAGAAAUGUAUAUAGACAAAUCGACUUAUAUCGGAAAAAUCCCAAGUGGACAAUUCCGAGGGAAAAAUGUUUUGUGAGUUUCAUAGAGGAAAAAUUGUUCUUUACUUCGUCCUUUCGUCUAGUGGUUAGGACGUGUCUAUGCUUGAAUAAAGCUAGAUGAAACACUGGUUCGAUUCCAGUAGGGAUGACGAAAUUACUUUUUAGUAAUUUAUUAAAUUUUUUUGGGGAAAUUAAUUUUUCCCCUCUUCUAUGAAAUUCAUAAAAUAACUGCCCGUAGAGACUAAACGUCGAUAUUCUUGAAAAAGAAUGUGUUAUAGUCCGAUCCCUUCAGUAAUGAAGGUUCAGCGUUUGUAGAACGCGGAAGUAAAACCAAAUGCGUGAGACAGGUUAGUCUCCUAUCUACUGUGGGCGUUGAUUCUUGAGGGGAGUUGCUUCUAGUACGAGAGGACCGAAGCGAACUGACCUCUGGUGUAUCUGUUGUCCCGCCCGGGGCAUUGCAGAGUAGCUAUGUCGGGAAUGGAUAACCUCUGAAAGCAUCUAAGAGGGAAGCCAGCCCUAAGAUUAGGAAUCGUUUGAGGGACCUGGGAGAUGACCAGGUUGAUAGGCGCUAGGUGUAAGUCCUGUGAAGGAUUGAGCCGAGGCGUACUAAUAUCCCGAUUC
rnacentral:rRNA from 1 species